UGGGGAAUAUUGGACAAUGGGCGCAAGCCUGAUCCAGCAAUGCCGCGUGUGUGAAGAAGGCCUUCGGGUUGUAAAGCACUUUUAUCAGGAGCGAAACGCUGUCGGCUAAUACCCGGCGGAACUGACGGUACCUGAGGAAUAAGCACCGGCUAACUUCGUGCCAGCAGCCGCGGUAAUACGAAGGGUGCAAGCGUUAAUCGGAAUUACUGGGCGUAAAGCGUGCGUAGGCGGUUUCUUAAGUCUGCUGUGAAAUCCCCGGGCUCAACCUGGGAAUGGCAGUGGAUACUGGGAGGCUAGAGUGUGUCAGAGGGUGGUGGAAUUCCCGGUGUAGCGGUGAAAUGCGUAGAGAUCGGGAGGAACAUCAGUGGCGAAGGCGGCCACCUGGGACAACACUGACGCUGAGGCACGAAAAGCGUGGGGAGCAAACAGGAUUAGGAUACCCUGGUAGUCCACGCCCUAAAACGAUGCGAACUGGAUGUUGGUCUCAACUCGGAGAUCAGUGUCGAAGCUAACGCGUUAAGUUCGCCGCCUGGGGAGUACGGUCGCAAGACUGAAACU
rnacentral:rRNA from 1 species